UGCUUAACACAUGCAAGUCGAACGGCAGCACAAUUUAACUUGUUAAAUGGGUGGCGAGUGGCGAACGGGUGAGUAACGCGUAGGAAUAUGCCUUAAAGAUUGGGACAACUUGGGGAAACUCAAGCUAAUACCGAAUGAGCUCUUAGGAGGAAAGCUGGGGACCUUCGGGCCUGGCGCUUUAAGAUUAGCCUGCGUCCGAUUAGCUAGUUGGUGGGGUAAAGGCCUACCAAGGCGACGAUCGGUAGCUGGUCUGAGAGGAUGACCAGCCACACUGGGACUGAGACACGGCCCAGACUCCUACGGGAGGCAGCAGUGGGAAUAUUGGACAAUGGGGGGAACCCUGAUCCAGCAAUGCCGCGUGUGUGAAGAAGGCCUGAGGGUUGUAAAGCUC
rnacentral:rRNA from 1 species